rnacentral:rRNA from 1 species
AUGCACUACCUGUCACAAGUCUUCCCUUCCGGAUGUACUGCCUACAGAUGCUCAGAUCCAGCUUGUGCUGGAAUAGAUGCAAUACCAAGGUACCGGAUUUGUUACGUUGCAAGAGAUGAUGAUGCAGAGGUUAAUGAGCCUGGUGAGGCUGAAUUUGUCUUCUUUGACAGAGUGGGAAGGGAGCUAGUUGGAGCACCCCUCAUAAGUAUUUUGCGCCAUGGGCGAUCACCUAUUGCCCCACUUCUAGAAAUUGUCCAGUAUGCCCGUGGAGACCCUGUCACACCACGAAAGCUCUCUGCUGUUAUAUCAAGGAAAUUCCAUUUUGUUGUCUCCAUAUCAAGCAAGUGUUUCACCAGUGAUGGUGAUGAGCUGUCAUUCCAGGUGCUUAGGAUUGACACGCCUCUAGGAAAGCAGCCACAGUCUUCAGUAGCGUAUCGAGCUUCAAGUGUGACAACUGGAGCAACUAGCUCAGGGUCUUUGCCAAAUGAGAGUCCUCCUCCUUUAACAGCUCCAUGUGCAUCAUCCAGCAGUCUGCCCCCUGGAAGUUCCACUCCCCCACCUUUGGUUGUCAACACCCCUGAGAGCCAGGCUCUGCUUUCUGCUUUGUGA